AGUGAACGCUGGCGGUAGGCCUAACACAUGCAAGUCGAACGGCAGCACAGUAAGAGCUUGCUCUUACGGGUGGCGAGUGGCGGACGGGUGAGGAAUACAUCGGAAUCUACUUUUUCGUGGGGGAUAACGUAGGGAAACUUACGCUAAUACCGCAUACGACCUACGGGUGAAAGCAGGGGAUCUUCGGACCUUGCGCGAUUGAAUGAGCCGAUGUCGGAUUAGCUAGUUGGCGGGGUAAAGGCCCACCAAGGCGACGAUCCGUAGCUGGUCUGAGAGGAUGAUCAGCCACACUGGAGCUGAGACACGGUCCAGACUCCUACGGGAGGCAGCAGUGGGGAAUAUUGGACAAUGGGCGCAAGCCUGAUCCAGCCAUACCGCGUGGGUGAAGAAGGCCUUCGGGUUGUAAAGCCCUUUUGUUGGGAAAGAAAAGCAGCAGGUUAAUACCCCGCUGUUCUGACGGUACCCAAGGAAUAAGCACCGGCUAACUUCGUG
rnacentral:rRNA from 1 species